rnacentral:rRNA from 1 species
AUGGAGAGCCUCGUCCUCGCCUCCUCGUGCUCCGCGUCUCCCCGCCUGCCCCUCCUCUCCGCCGCCAGCCGCCCGUCGCGGCCCCUCCCGGCGGCGCCGCUCUCCGCUGCCGCCGGGCGGAGGGGAGCCAGGCGGCCGAGGCUCGUCGUCUCCGCCGCCUCCCGCGGAUCUAGGAACGUUUCAGAUGGAUUUAACACAAAGGGAUUUGCAAGCAUAUCGUCUUCAACCAGCACCGAGAAUACAUCGACGGGAACUGGCACCGUGCCUCCCAUGCCGCCUCCCUCAUCAUAUAUUGGUUCACCUGUUUUCUGGAUUGGCGUUGGUGUAGCAUUAUCUGCAGCAUUUUCCAUGGUCUCUUCGAUGGUAAAGAAAUACGCAAUGGAACAAGCAUUCAAGUCGAUGAUGACCCAGGCACCACCAAACACAUUUGGUGCGAACUCGCCAUUCCCAUUCUCCAUGCCACCACAGGCAGGUUCCACGGCACCAAGUAGUUACCCAUACUCAGGACCAAGGAAAAAUACCCCAAAAGGUGCAACUGUUGAUGUUUCAGCUACUGAUGUGGCAGCAACUGGAUCUUCGGAAGCAGCUGAUGUGGCAGAGACAUCGAAGCCUUCAAAGAAAUUUGCCUUUGUUGAUGUUUCUCCCGAAGAGUUGCAAAAACAGAAGGAGCUUCAAUCUUCAUUGCAGACGGUAGAUGUAAAAAGUGAUAGCACUGAAAGUGAAACGAAGGGUGAUACUGAACAAGUUCCUACAAAUGGUGCUGCUUUUAAGCCGAGUGAAGAUUCCUCUACCUGGACAACUGAAUCCAGUAAGUCAGGACCUAUGCUAUCUAUUGAUACAAUUGAGAAAAUGAUGGAAGACCCAGCUGUGCAGAAGAUGGUUUACCCCUACUUGCCUGAGGAGAUGAGGAACCCAGAUUCAUUCAAGUCGAUGCUUCAGAAUCCGAUGUACCGCCAACAACUGGAGGAUAUGCUAAACAACAUGGGCGCAUCUCCUGAUCAAUGGGAUAACCGCAUGGUUGAUCACUUGAAGAACUUUGACCUUAGCAGUCCUGAAGUUAGGCAGCAGUUUGCGCAAGUUGGCAUGACUCCAGAGGAAGUUGUAGCGAAAAUAAUGGCGAACCCAGAAGUUGCUGUUGCAUUCCAGAAUCCAAAAAUUCAAACGGCCAUCAUGGAUUGCUCGCAGAACCCUCUGAAUAUUGUAAAAUACCAAAAUGACCAAGAGGUCAUGGAUGUUUUUAUGAAGAUAUCGCAAAUCUUCCCCCAAAUUAAUGGCUAG